ACUUGGCAAUGAACCUCUAGUAUCACACUCAAAAUUAACUUAUAAUUUUCAUUAAGUGUAGUCUAGACUGUCUGUGUCUUUCCCCUAAUCCAAACAAACAACUUGAUUUGCCACUUAUCCAAAACUUCCUCCUAAAGAGAAAAAGUGAAAGUAAUGUACAAUUGCUUUCAAACCCUAGAUGAGGUAAGUACAGUGCUCAAUAACUUCAUCAAAUAAGAUCUAAAUUUUAUGGUGCAAGUGCCAGCCUUCACAGGUCAGCGAGCUUUUUCGAAUGGUACACAGGCUGCCUAUAUCAAAUUUGUACAAAAGAAUUGAUUUUGGUGGUUGGAAUAAAGCCAUUUUAAUCUUGCUGCAAGCUUUCCAGAAAUAAUAGUGCUAAAUUAGAAGAUAAAUUAUAAAUAGAUUACUGUUUUUAAGUAUUAUUCAGAAUGUUAACAACUAGUAUAUGGCCUUUCUACUGCAAUCCUAAAUAGCAAGUGUCAACCCGAUUUUGAAAGUUCUCCAGUACCUCUCAGCAGUGAAGUGGAUUCCAGGGGAAGCUGUGCGGUCUGGCUGACAGAAACAUCAUGUUUUAUUCUCACCCUUUGUUUUUUUCCUUUUGGGGCUGCUGUGCCUGUGGUUGGCAGGACAGCCAAAGGAGGCAGACAGGACCUUUGAUGCCUGGCAAGUUGCACCACUGGGAGAAUGCUCAAAAAUAUGGAUUCAAUCCAGAAAGCCUUUAUCAGUCAUGAAACUUACAACAGAUCUUCACUACAACCAGGACGCUACAAAGAAAACUUCCGAACAUCAUUUUGGGUUUCUCAAUGCCUAAGAGAUUAAGAUAUUUGCAACUAGUAUGUCAAAUUACAUAUUUAAUGUAAAUAUUGGUAUCUGACAACUGUACUUUGAAAUGUCACUGGAGAAGGAUAAUUAAUUUUAACAGAAUUAUCUCAAAUUGCCCUCCCUCCCACUAUUAAAAUGGCCUGUCUAGGUUUAUAGUUGUUUAUUUCAUUAUUAAGUAAAAAUCAUCUCUUGUUUCUCAGGGCCCAUUGUGCCCACUCAGGUGGUUGUUGGACAGCCCGCCAUCAAGGACAGCAUAACUGGUCCACUUGAUUUCAGUUGAACCUCCACUCUAGUCUUGGCAGUUCAUUUCAUCACUUGGAAUAA
rnacentral:lncRNA from 1 species